rnacentral:piRNA from 1 species
GUAAAUUUACUCCUUGGGGUAUAA